UGGGGAUUAUUGCACAAUGGGGGAAACCCUGAUGCAGCAACGCCGCGUGGAGGAAGAAACCCUUAGGGGCGUAAACUCCUUUUAUCAAGGAAGAAGAUGACGGUACUUGAUGAAUAAGCACCGGCUAACUCCGUGCCAGCAGCCGCGGUAAUA
rnacentral:rRNA from 1 species